GACUACUGGGGUAUCUAAUCCCGUUUGCUCCCCUGGCUUUCGCGCCUCAGCGUCAGUUGCUGCCCAGCAAGUCGCCUUCGCCACCGGUGUUCUUCCCAAUAUCUACGCAUUUCACCGCUACACUGGGAAUUCCACUUGCCUCUACAGCACUCCAGUCUGCCAGUUUCAACAGCAUAUGAGGGUUAAGCCCCCAUUUUUAACAGCUGACUUGACAAACCGCCUGCGCGCCCUUUACGCCCAGUAAUUCCGGACAACGCUCGUCCCCUACGUAUUACCGCGGCUGCUGGCACGUAGUUAGCCGGGACUUAUUCGUAUGGUACCGUCACGUCCUUCUUCCCAUACAAAAGAGGUUUACAACCCGAAGGCCGUCUUCCCUCACGCGGCGUCGCUGGGUCAGGGUUUCCCCCAUUGCCCAAUAUUCCCCACUGCAGCCACCCGUAGG
rnacentral:rRNA from 1 species